UUCUGAUGAUAGAGGCGGAUGAUGAGGAAAAAGUCCGGGCUCCUUCGGAAAAAAUGCCGGGUAAUAACCGGGCAGAAAUCAGCAGCUGUAAGUUUCUUACAAAGCCUGAUUUCUGACAGAAAGUGCAACAGAAAUCGUACCGCCUGUUUUUUGCUCGCAAAGAGCAGGUAAGGGUGAAAAGGCGGUGUAAGAGACCACCGCGUAAGUGGUAACACUUAUGGCUUGUAAACCUCAUUUGGAGCAAGGUUAAGCAGCAGUAAGGUUUUUCCGAGCCCUAUACUGCGGGUAAACCGCUACAGGUCUCUGGCAACAAAGAUCGCGGAUAGAUGGUUAUGCGUAAAGUCUGAUUUAUCAGACUUUAUGCGACAGAACCCGGCUUAUUGUCCUAUCU
rnacentral:RNase_P_RNA from 1 species